AUUGAACGCUGGCGGCAGGCCUAACACAUGCAAGUCGAACGAGUGGCGGAGGGGUGAGUAAUGUCUGGGAAACUGCCUGAUGGAGGGGGAUAACUACUGGAAACGGUAGUUACAACCGCAUACCAUCAGAUGUGCCCAGAUGGGAUUAGCUAGUUGGUGGGGUAACGGCUAACCAAGGCGACGAUCCCUAGCUGGUCUGAGAGGAUGACCAGCCACACUGGAACUGAGACACGGUCCAGACUCCUACGGGAGGCAGCAGUGGGGAAUAUUGCACAAUGGGCGCAAGCCUGAUGCAGCCAUGCCGCGUGUAUGAAGAAGGCCUUCGGGUUGUAAAGUACUUUCAGCGGGGAGGCGUUACCCGCAGAAGAAGCACCGGCUAACUCCGUGCCAGCAGCCGCGGUAAUUC
rnacentral:rRNA from 1 species